GAUGAACGCUGGCGGCGUGCCUAAUACAUGCAAGUCGAGCGAACAGACGAGAGUGCUUGCACUCUCUGACGUUAGCGGCGGACGGGUGAGUAACACGUGGGUAACCUACCUAUAAGACUGGGAUAACUUCGGGAAACCGGAGCUAAUACCGGAUAAUAUUUAGCUUCGCAUGAAGCAAUAGUGAAAGACGGUUCUGCUGUCACUUAUAGAUGGACCCGCGGUGUAUUAGCUAGUUGGUGAGGUAACGGCUCACCAAGGCAACGAUACAUAGCCGACCUGAGAGGGUGAUCGGCCACACUGUGACUGAGACACGGCCCAGACUCCUACGGGAGGCAGCAGUAGGGAAUCUUCCGCAAUGGACGAAAGUCUGACGGAGCAAUGCCGCGUGAGUGAAGAAGGUUUUCGGAUCGUAAAACUCUGUUGUAAGGGAAGAACAAGUACGUUAGUAACUGAACGUACCUUGACGGUACCUUACCAGAAAGCCACGGCUAACUACGUG
rnacentral:rRNA from 1 species